GCCCAGCUCCCUUCCCUUUCCGGUCCAGCUUCCCACCCCCAAACUGUGUCCCCAGCGAGCACUCCCUGAACAGUCACUGCAAACACAUCCUCAUCCUAGGGGCUGCAUCUGGGCAACUCCUAGGAAAAAGGUCUGGUUACGCAAGCAGAUUUCUUGGCACACCCACCCACAGGAGGGAACCCACGCUGUGCUGCCGUAGAAGAAAAAAUAAUAAAGAAGGAGCGGAUUUUGUGACAGCUUUGGAAAAUCGCAUUGAGUGAGAAAAGCAAGGUACAGAAGCCUGGCCAUGGCAUCUUUAUUUUCUGAGCAGGGAAAGGCAAACGUGGACCGUGUCGUAUUUGCUGACUCCCUAAAGAAGCCGGAGACACAAGAAGCAGAUGAGAGAGGACACGCAGGGCGCCAGAGCAGGGGUGCGUGUGAAACCUCGGCUGCAGAGCCCAGAGGUAAGUUUUGUAAACGAAGACGACGAUGAUGACGACCCGCCCCGCACUGCCCGGUGCCGCAGCCCGUUCUGAGCCGUAUUCGCUCAUUUCCUCCUCAGGACUCUGGAAGGUAUCAUGGCCCUGUGCUAUGAAUCGUGUGCCCCUAAAACUCAUAGGUCGAAGCCCUCACCCCCAGGACAACGGUGUUUGCAAUCAGAAAGCGAUUAAAGUUCGCCGAGGCCAUGAGGGCAGGACCCCGGUAAGGCAGGGGUUAGAAUCCGUAUGAGCGCGUUCACACUGCCACAAAACAACACCCGACACUGGGUCCUUUCUACAGGAAAGAGGGUUAACUGACUCACAGCUCCACCUGGCUGCGGAGGCCUCAGGAAACUUACCGUCAGGGAGGAAGCAAAGAAUUCUCUACACGGCGGCAGGAGCAAGAAGAGCAACAGAGAGCAGGGAAACUGCCUUCUCAAACCGCCGGGUUUGUGAUCCCAGCACUUUGGGAGGCCGAGGCGGGGGGAUCACGAGGUCAAGAGAUCGAGACCAUCCUGGUCAACAUGGUGAAACCCCGUCUCUACUAAAAAAAUAUUAAAAAUUAGCCGGGCAUGGAGGCGCGUGCCUGUAAUCCCAGCUACUCAGGAGGCUGAGGCAGGAGAAUUGCCUGAACCCAGGAGGCGGAGGCUGCGGUGAGCCGAGAUCGCGCCAUUGCACUCCAGCCUGGGUAGCAAGAGCGAAACUCCGUCUCAAAAAAAAAAAAAAAAAAAACCACCAAGUCCAGCGAGAACUUGCUCACUAUCAGGAGAGCCGCUUCGGGGAACCGCCCCGUGGUCCGGUCACCUCCCACCAGGAGCCUCCCUCCACACCUGGGGACGAGAUUUGGGUGAGGACACAGAGCCGACACGUAUCGGCAUCCUCGAGGCAGAAGAAUAGGGUCUGAAGGCCCCGAACCUAAGGCCGCUUCAUGCUGACUUCCCAGAACUAAACUGAAAGGAGGGCCUUACCUUUCCUCGCCUAAGUGACAGGAGGACCAGCGGCUACCCCUUUGCAAACCCCCACGUCUUCUGCGGGCGAAUGGGAAAUUGAAAGUACCUCUGACUGGCUGCUUUUUGCAACCUAUCAGACUGAUUGUGGCAACAGAAUAACCUCACCUCAGCCUCUGAUUGGCUGCUGUCUGCAACCUAUCAGACUGAUUGUGGCAACAGAAUAACCUCACCUCAGCCUCUGAUUGGCUGCUGUCUGCUACCUAUUAGACUGAUUGUGGCAACAGAAUAACUUCACCUCAGCCUCUGAUUGGCUGCUGUCUGCGACCUAUCACACUGAUUGUGGCAACAGAAUAACUUCACCUCAGCCUCUGAUUGGCUGCUGUCUGCAACCUAUCAGACUGAUUGUGGCAACAGAAUAACUUCACCUCAGCCUCUGAUUGGCUGCUGUCUGCAACCUCUCAAUCAGACUGAUUGUGGCAACAGAAUAACCUCACCUCAGCCUCUGAUUGGCUGCUGUCUGCAACCUAUCAGGCUGAUUGUGACAACAGAAUAACUUCACCUCAGCCUCUGAUUGGCUGCUGUCUGCGACCUAUCAGACUGAUUGUGGCAACAGAAUAACUUCACCUCAGCCUCUGAUUGGCUGCUGUCUGCGACCUAUCAGACUGAUUGUGGCAACAGAAUAACUUCCCCUCAGCCUCUGAUUGGCUGCUGUCUGCGACCUAUCAGACUGAUUGUGGCAACAGACUAACUCCACCUCAGCCUCUGAUUGUUGCUUUCCACAACCAAUCAGAUGUUUGCAUAGGAGUGUGACCUUUGUCACUUCGCUUGACCAAUUGGACUGAUCACAGGCCACCACUUCAUUCACAGGGCUGAACGCCAAGUGGCCAACGGGAAACCUCUGGCGGGUAUUUGGACUGGAUGAGAUUUCGUGUCUGGGGCCCUUGAGCCCCUGUGCUCGGGGCUGCUCCCACACCGCAGAGUGUACGUUCAUAUUCAGUAAAUCUCUGCUUUUGUUGCUUCAUUCUUUCCUUGAUUUCUUCGUACACUUUGUCCAAAUCUAACAUUCUCAUCAGAGAGACACCAGAGCGCAUUCUCCCCACACCCCCUCUUCCUCUACGCCCGGCCACGUGAGGACCUAGGAGAAGGUGGCCACCUACGAGCCGGAAGAAAGCCUCCAUCAGAACCUGGCCCUGCUGGCUCCCUGCCCUCAGACUUUGCCUCCAGGACUGUGAGGUCUAAACCACGCGGUCUACGGCACGUGUGUUAUGGCAGCAGGAUCUGACACAUCCCAAUCGUGCAGAAGAGGAAAUGGAGGUGCGGAGAGGUGAAGCACAUUGGCUGAGGUCGAACGAUGAGGACGCGGGAGAGCUGGGAUUUGAAUCGAGGUCAUUUGGCUGCGGGUCCAGGCUUUUAAUGAUGUAUUUGGGGCACACUCCCUUAAAACAGUCCCCAGAGGGGCCAGGCGCGGUGGCUCACACCCCUAAUCCCAGCACUUUGGGAGGCCGAGGCGGGUGGAUCACGAGGGCAAGAGAUCGAGACCAUCCUGGUCAACAUGGUGAAACCCCGUCUCUACUAAAAAUACAAAAAAUUAGCUGGGCAUGGUGGUGCGUGCCUGUAAUCCCAGCUACUCAGGAGACUGAGGCAGGAGAAUUGCCUGAACCCGGGAGGCGGAGGUUGCAGGCAGACAGAACGGUGACCCCCAAAGAUGUCCAUGUCUUAACCCCCAGAACCUGUGGACGUCUACCUUACCAAGCAAUUUACCUUACUUGGCAGGAGAAACUUUGCAGAUAUGAUUAAAUUAAAAAUCUUGAGGUGGGGGCGGUUAUCCUGGAUUAUACUGUGGGCACAGGGCCAUCACAGGGAUCCCGGGGACAGGGAGGAAGAAGUCAGAAAGGGGAGAAGAUGCCACUCUGCUGGCUUGGGAGACAGGAGGGGCCAUGAGCCAAGGAAUGCGGGCGGUGUCCAGGAGCCGCAGAAGGCAAGGGGGCAGAUGCUUCCCGGGAGCCUCCAGAAGGGGCAGACCCAUUUUAGAGUUCAGUCCUCCUGCACUUUAAAAUACUAAAUGUGUGCUUUGUAAGCCACAGUUUGUGUGGUCAUUUGUUGCAACAGUGAUGGGGAAAAUGCAGAUUUGGGGGGUGAAUGCCCGGGGGGAUGAUAUGCUCAUGGGGAAACUGAUCCUCGGUUUGGAGCUGAAAUAAGGUGCCUUGUAUACAGGCUCUACUUUGCAAUGUGACUUAACAAAUCUGCAAAGGGUUUUGUGACAUUGUGAUAUAAUAAGAAACAUUUACAUCGUCUCCAUCCUGGUUUUGGACACAGAGCUCCUAAAACCCUCAGAAUUUCCCGAGCGGUAAGAGUGGGAAAAGCAUUUUUGUUAUUGACAAUAACAACUCUCUUAGCCCAUUUUGUCGCCGUAAAGGAAGGCUUGAGGCUGGUCGUUUAUAUAGAAAAGAGGCGUAUUAGGCUCACAGUUCUGCCAGCUGCAUGGGAAGCAUGGCGCCAGCAUCUGCAUCCGUGAGGAGCUCAGGAAGCUUCCAGGCAGGGCAGAAGGUUAAAAGGAGCAAGGGUCAUGUGGAGAGGAGAGAGGCACGCGGAGAAAGACACCAGGCUUUCUAAACAAUCAGGUCCCUGAGGAACUACUAGAGCGAGAGAACUGGAGAACUCUCAUUACUGCAUGGAUGGCACCAAGACAUUCGUGAGGGAUCUGCCCCACGACCCAAACACCCCCCGCCAGGCUCCACUCCCAACAUUGGGGGUCAAAGUUCAACAUGAGAUUUGGAGGGGACAAGUAUCCAAACCAUUAUUAGUAACCGUAUCUGAGUUUAUGCUAAUGAGAUGACUCUUGGAGGGUGGGGGCUGGUUGCCAGAGGAGGGCUGGAACUUCAGUCACCGUGUUCCCCAACCCCAACCUCCAGGGAGAAGAGAGGGGCUGGAGAUCGACUUAAUCCCAAGGCCUCAUGAUGUAAUCAAUCAUGCCUGUGUAAUGUGACCUCCGUAGAACCCCUAAAUGACUAGAAAGGCGUUUCAAAGAGUUUCUGCGUUGAGUUAUUGAGCACAUCAAGGUGCAGGGAGGGCAGUGCACCUGGAGAGGGCAUAGGAGCUCUGUACCGCGCACCCCCACCGUGCCUCUCCUACUAACCCGUCCAUCCCACUCUGUCCACUCCACCCUGUCCAUGACUUGGCUGUUCCUGAGUCACAUUCUUUAUAAUCAACCAGUGAACAUAAGCAAAGUAUUUCCCUGAGUUCUGUACGUCAGUUGCCAAUUUUUUUUUGAGGCGGAGUCUUGCUGGGUCACCCAGGCUGGAGUGCAUUGGCUGGAUCUUGGCUCACUGCAGCCUCUGCCUCCCAGGUUCAAGUGAUUCUCCUGCCUCAGCCUCCUGAGUAGCUGGGAUUACAGGCGCGCACCACCAUGUCUGGCUAAUUUUUGUACUUUUAGUAAAGACAGGGUUUCACCACCUUGGCCAGGCUGGUCUGAAAUAGCUGACCUCAUGUGAUCUGCCUGUUUCAGCCUCUCAGAGUCCCAGGAUUACAGGCAUGAGCCAGCUUUUGCGCCCAGCUUUUGCCAAUUAUCGAGCCUGAGGAGGGGGUCAUGAGGACUCCUAAAUCAGCUGUAAGCCAUAGCUGGUCAACCUGAAGGGAGGCCGAGACUCGCAACUGGCAUCUGAAGUGGAGGCUGUACCAUGGGACUGAGUCGCUCAGUUGUGAGAUCUGGUGCUAAUUCUAGGUAGUGUUGGAAUUAGAUUGAACUGUGAGACACCCAGCUAUGUCAAAAAGUUGGAAGAUUUGCUGGUGUGGGUAAUCAAUACCCUGCCAUUUGCUGUCAGAAGCAAAGUGUUGCAUGUAGAAGAAAUAUAUUUUCCUUUCUAAGCUUUUGACAAAUAUAUAGAAUGUGGCAGAAGCGAUAUUGUGUGACUUCAAAACCUCAGUCUCAAGAGACCUUGCUGUUGCCACUCUACUCUUGACGAAAUGCUGUGAAGAUGCCCAGGCUGUCUACUGGAGGAUGACGCUGUGUGGAGCAGGGAACCGCUGUAAGAGCAGAGCCAGCCACCAAAAUGACCACCAGGCCUGUGAGAGAAGCUUCUUAGACCACGCAGCCCCAUUAGCCGCCAGGUGACUGUAGCCACACAGGUGAUCCCAAGUGAGACAAACAGAAGAGCCACCCACAGAGCCCAACCCAAACUGUCCUAUCUAAGGCUAAGUACACGGUAGAGCCUGAUCCCAUUGCUUCAGGAAUGGAGGUGGGGUGAACACUUGAGAGAUCAUAUUCUAGCUUUUUUUUUUUUUUUGAGAUGGAGUUUCACUCUUGUUACCCAGGCUGGAGUGCAAUGGCACGAUCUCGGCUCACCACAACCUCCGCCUCCCGGGUUCAGGCAAUUCUCCUGCCUCAGCCUCCUGAGUAGCUGGGAUUACAGGCCUGAGCCACUGCGCCCAGCUAAUUUUUUGUAUUUUUAGUAGAGACGGGGUUUCACCAUGUUGACCAGGGUGGUCUCGAUCUCUUGACCUCGUGAUCCCAAAGUGCUGGGAUUACAGGCCUGAGCCACCGCGCCCGGACCCCAUAUUCUGGCUUUUUUUGCUCUCAUCACCUCUACCAAUUUCAAUAACAUCAAAAGCAGUGAACAUCGGUUCAACCUCAGUUACCCUCACAACCACCCUUGCACAUGGUCAGUUGUAUUAUCGUUUUACAGAUGAGGAAACUGGGGCCAAGAGAGGUUAAUGGGGCUGCCCAAGGUCACUCAGCAGGCAAGCACAGGGAGUGGGAUUGGGACCCUGUUCCAUCUGAUGCCAGAGUCACCAUCGCUGUGGCGUUUGCUAGCCCGCUGCAUUCACUCAUUCAUUCAAGACCAAUGUAUUAAGUCUUUGAUGUCUGGUGCUUGGGAUGGAAAGAUAAACAAGAGAGAUGUGGUCUCUUUGUCAACAGCGUCUUGUGAAGAAUCACAAAUCGUGAUCAUCACUGAGCUUUGUGUUGACUUCAGUGAUGAACUUAGGGUGCCUGUGAAUGUAGCCAUUUGUUCCAAGUGUUUCAGUGAUGAACUUAGGGUGCCUGUGAAUGUAGCCAUUUGUUCCAAGUGUAAAUUAGGGUUGUGUUCAGCUGUGAGUCACUGGAACCUUCCUCCAGUGGCUUCCCCAGCCAAGGGCGGAAUUUUUCACAUAAGAAGACAGAAGAUAAGCGGUCCAGGGCUGAUGCUGCAGGUCACGAAGUCACAUGUACAGUUGAUGUGGCCUCACCCCUGCCAUCUUGGCUCUGGGGCAAGAAGAGGCUUGGCUUGCCGGCUUCAGCUAGGUACAAACUCCAAAUGAAAGGCUUUGGUCACUUGCCCAGCCCUGGACCAACCACUGUGGCUGGAGAGACGGUGCGUGGUGUCUGGCCCAGCCCGGGUCAUGGGUAUCCUCUGCUGGAAAGAGAAUGGGGUUGGUCAUCAAAUGAGGGGAAGGCUGGGAGUGGUGGGGAGGAGUGACGGGCCGUGUUUCCCAACGUGGCUGCAAUGAUCUUUCUCUUCCUACACACUCUUCAUACCAUGAGAUUUUUGCCUCUUCUCCCAUCAAAAACUGGGGUCUAGGUUUCUGAGCCUUGAAUCCUGGUGGGCUUGGGAUAACGGUCAGGGUGACGUGUAAGGCUGGGUGGUAACAGGUAAGUCGACUUCCACCUGGUUCUCUUGGAACGCUCACUCUUGGAGCCAAGCCCUGUGGAGAAGCCAUGGUAGGUGUUUCAGCCAGCGCCCCAGGUGAGGCACUGGGCCUGUAGGUGAGAGAGCCUUUGGCGAUUCCAGCUCCCAGACAUUGGGUCACCACCCUCAGGCUUUAAGCUGCUCCCGCUGACCCCACAGAGAGCAAGGAUGAGCUGUCCCUGCCAAACCCUGCUCGAAUUACAGAUUUGUUUAUUUAUUUUUUUAGACAGGGUCUCACUCUGUCACCCAGGCUGAAGUGCAGUGGUGAAUCAUUGCUUACUGAGGCCUGGACCUCCUGGACUCCAGCGGUUGUCCCACCUCAGCCUGCGAGUAGCAGGGACUGCAAGCACUCACCACAACACCUGCUAAUAUUUUUUAAAAAUUUUUGUAGAGACAGAGACAGGGUCUCACCAUGUUGCCCAGACUGGUCUCAAGCUCUUGGGUUGAAGCAAUUCUCUCACUCUGACCUCCCAACAUGCUAGGGUUAGAAGCAUGAGCCACCAUGCCGAGCCAAAUUAGAGAUUUGUGACCACAAUACCUGAUUGCUCUUUUUUCUCUUUUAUUUUUUUGAGACAGAGUCUCAUUCUGUCUGUUGCCCAUGCUGCAGUGCAGUGGCACGAUCUCCACUCUCCGCAACCUUCAGCUCCCAGGUUCAAGCAAUUCUCAUGCUUCAGCCUCCCGGGUAACUGGGAUUAUAGGCAUGUACCACCACGCCUGGCUAAUUUUUAAAAAUAUUUUUAGUAGAGAUGGGGUUUCGCCACGUUGGCCAGGCUGGUCUCGAACUCCUGGCCUCCAGCAAUCCACCCACCUCGGCCUCCCAGAGUGCUAGGAUUACAGGCAUGAGCCGCCGCGUCUGUCUGAUCGAUGCUUUUUAGCCGCUAGGUCCGGGGUAGUUUUUUAGGCAGCAAUAGACAACUAGAGCAGGAGGGUGUACGUGGGGCAUGAGCAGAAGCUCUGUGCAACCAGACCCUUGCUCCUGGGGAGGUGAGAGGCAAGAAGGAGCAAGAGACAGACAGAGGCCGAGUGAGAAAGGCUCAGAAUCAGCUGAUGUGCUACCUUCAAGGAAGGCCAUCAGAUGUGGCCAUGCCUGUUCCCUGCAGCCACAAAGGAAACUAACCCAGCCACUGGGUUGCAUGCUAGCUUGAUUACCGGGUCCAGUGGAGAGGGAAGCGAAAGACCCACGGGGCCCACACCUGGAAGGGGUGGAAGGCCCACACCUGGCGCCCCACCCUGCCAUGCCUCCCCUCCAACCAGGUGGAACUGCAGACUGAUGUCCAGGCUCAGCCUUGCCCCCGCUCACCAGCCAAGAAGUCACCCUGGGGACAAGUGGCCCCGGGAUGGGCUCUGCGCUUGCUAAGAGCACCGUGUGCUUCUGUGCGAGUCAUACGCCUACGGCUCUGUCCCCUUGCCUCUGAGAUCUGACCGUUUAAUCACGGAAAUUACCUUGCUAAACUCUGUUAUCAUUUCUAGUGUUUUUUUCUGCAGACGUAAGUUUUUAGUGUAGACAUGUCAUGUGAGAAAGAUGAUAGUUUUGUUCCUUCCUUUCUAGCCCCGAUACCUCUAUUCAUUUUCCUUGUUCUACGCUGGCACCAGAAAUAUAAUGUCGAAGAGAAGAAA